rnacentral:rRNA from 1 species
CAGUCGCCGCGGGAAUACGUAGGUGGCAAGCGUUGUCCGGAAUUAUUGGGCGUAAAGGGCUCGCAGGCGGUUUCUUAAGUCUGAUGUGAAAGCCCCCGGCUCAACCGGGGAGGGUCAUUGGAAACUGGGAAACUUGAGUGCAGAAGAGGAGAGUGGAAUUCCACGUGUAGCGGUGAAGUGCGUAGAGAUGUGGAGGAACACCAGUGGCGAAGACGACUCUCUGGUCUGUAACUGACGCUGAGGAGCGAAAGCGUGGGGAGCGAACAGGAUUAGAUACCCCAGUAGUCCCUGUCUCUUAUAC